AUGAACAAGUUGAAAUCAUCGCAGAAGGAUAAAGUUUGUCAGUUUAUGAUCUUCACACAAUCUAGUGAAAAAAACCGCAGUAAGUUGUCUAUCUCAAAAUGACUGGAAGUUAGAUGUUGCAACAGAUAAUUUUUUCCAAAAUCCUGAACUUUAUAUAUGAGAGAGUGUAAAAGGAUCACUGGAAAGGAAGAAGUUAGAACAACUGUACAAUAGAGACAAAGAUCCUCAAAAUGAGAAUAAAAUUGGAAUAGAUGGUAUAUAGCAGUUCUGUGAUGGCCUGGCACUCAAUCCAGCCAGCAUUAGUGUGUUGAUUAUUGCAUGGAUGUUCAGAGCAGCAAUACAGUGUGAGUUCUCCAAACAGGAGUUCAUGGAUGGCAUGACAGAAUUAGGAUGUGACAGCAUAGAAAAACUAAAGGCCCAGAUACCCAAGAUGUAACAAGAAUUGAAAGAACCAGGACAAUUUAAGGAUUUUUACCAGUUUACUUUUAAUUUUGCAAAGAAUCCAAGACAAAAAGGAUUAGAUCUAGAAAUGGCCAUUGCCUACUGGAACUUAGUGCUUAAUAGAAGAUUUAAAUUCUUAGACUUAUGGAAUAAAUUUUUGUGGAACAUCACAAACAAUCAAUACCAAAAGACACUUGGAAUCUUCUUUUAGACUUCAGUACAGUGAUUGCAAAUCACGUGUCUAAUUAUGAUGAAGGAGCAUGGCCUGUUCUUAUUGAUGACUUUGUGGAAUUUGCACGCCCUCAAACUGCUGGGACAAAAAGUACAACAGUGUAG
rnacentral:lncRNA from 1 species